UUGGAGGGCAAGUCUGGUGCCAGCAGCCGCGGUAAUUCCAGCUCCAAUAGCGUAUAUUAAAGUUGUUGCAGUUAAAAAGCUCGUAGUUGAAUUUCGGGAUCAAUACGUCGGUCGUGCUUCGGUACGUACUGGCGUAAUUGAUUUCUCCCUUCUGACGAACCAUGAUGUCAUUAAUUUGGUGUUAUGGGGAGUUAGGACUGUUACUUUGAAAAAAUUAGAGUGUUUAAAGCAGACCUUAGCUUGAAUACAUUAGCAUGGAAUAAUGAAAUAGGACGUUCGAACCUAUUUUGUUGGUUUCUAGGAUUGACGUAAUGAUUAAUAGGGAUAGUUGGGGGCAUUAGUAUUCAAUUGUCAGAGGUGAAAUUCUUGGAUUUAUUGAAGACUAACUACUGCGAAAGCAUUUGCCAAGGAUGUUUUCAUUAAUCAAGAACGAAAGUUAGGGGGAUCGAAGACGAUCAGAUACCGUCGUAGUCUUAACCAUAAACUAUGCCGACUAGGAAUCAGACGAUGUUAAUUUUUAAUG
rnacentral:rRNA from 1 species